GCGUAUGUAGCAUAACUGGUUAAUGCCCAUCUCUGUGAAAGAUGAAGAUGCGAGUUCGAAUCUCGUCGUACGCCCA
rnacentral:tRNA from 1 species